CUCCAGCGGCAGGGGCGUUCCCCUGCGCUCAGUUCGCAGGUGGGGGUCCGCGGCGGUGGUUUGAGUAUACCUUUCAAGGGUAGAUGUGAGAAGUCGCUCUGUGUCCCAGGCUCUCGAGAGGAAGGCCUCUUGGGCCUUUGCAUCUCUCUUGAGUGAGGCGGUAAGUUUUCUAGUGCUGGGGUCGGUCCCGCAGUCGUCUCAGUCCUGGGUGGCAGGAACAGUGCCGAGCCCCGCGUGGUGCAAAAGUGGGUGCGGGUUCGGGCCCCCACAGCGCUAAUUGGGGUUUUAAAGUCUUGAUUGUUUUCUCAGCGCCUGGCCCCGCCGUCGCCAUGGCUCCGCCGCCUUGGGGGCGAGGUCACCCCCGGGAGGCGGGACGUCCUGGUGCGGCGCAUGGGGUCCUGUGUGGCCCCGGUCCCGACGCGGUGACCCACCUCUGGACUUGGCCUUUUUCUCUCUUUGCUUUAAGGCACAGUUUCUCAACCUAGGCACUACUGACAUUUUGGGCCCGAUAAUUCUGUUUAUACGGGGCUGUCCUGUGCACUGUAGGAUCUUUAUCUGCAUCCCCGGCUUCUACCCACUCAUGCCAGUGUCAUUCUCCCAGUUGUGACAAGGAGAGAUAUCUCCAGACUGCCAAAUAUCCCCCCCCGCCCCGGGGAAAAUCGUCGGGGUUAGAAGCGCUGUUUAGGAGAUAAUCUAGGUUUCUGGGGAGCGAGCCUUUUCAAAAGCCGGAAACAACGUCUUAGCUACGGUAACGACUUGUGGCCAGGUUCGCCCCUUCUUCCAGAAGCUCUCGGUCCCUUUCCAGCGUCUCGAGUUAGUCGUCAUCCAGGAAUCGGGCCGGCCCGGGAGAAGGAGCAGGUCAAGGUCUCAUUCCUGAAGGCGCCACCUGAGAAAGUCCAGGCGCCACUCGCGGUCUUACUCGCGGAGCCGGUCGAGUCCCUGCAGCAGGUGCCGUCUACGCGAUCUCGCCAGGGGACAGUACUACGGCUCUGACCCUAUGGUGUACCCGAAAGAACACAGCAGUUGGAGGAAGAGAUCCAGGAAGAGGUCGCUGAGCAGAAGCUCAUUUCGCUUAAGUGGAAAAGGUGGAUGGGUCAUUUGUCGUUAAGAGAGAUAAAAUGGAGCUAUUAGAAAUAGCAAAAGCCAGCACAGCCACAUCCUUAGGAACAGCCAACCUUGACUUGCCAGUUGGUCUCAGAAUGGUUCCUGUAGUUAAAGAAAGAAACUGUGGAACAGCUGUACCAAAUAUUGCAAAGUUUGAGAGUUCAGAUAAUGAAAAUGAGAGUACAAAACCAAUGCCAGCAUGACCCAGACAAUAUUGGAAAAGAAGACUAAAUGGCUAUGUUAUGGAAGGACACAUGCGGCUGGACUACGGAGGUAAAUAAUCCAAACGGAGCGUACUGCACAAUAUGUAGAAAAGAAUUCGGGGUUGGGCAUGGUGGAGAAGGGGAUAUGCAAGCACAUAUGGAGACUGAAUUCCACAAGUCUGGGAUGAGACAAGCAAGUACUUUGGAAUCAAUUCAAAGUGUCUUUGUUGCCUCAAAAGACACCAAUGCUCAAUUGAAAAUAUCAGCCACUAAAUCAGCUUGGCAUACCACACAAAUGAACACGCGCUAGCAUAUCGCUCACUCGACUGCUCUGUGAGACCCAGUGAAGUUAUGUUUCCUGAUUCAGUGGUUGCAACUAAAAUGUCCUAUGGGCGAACAAAAAGGGACAUUUUUUUUUUUUAUUGAGUUAAUGAUAGGUUACAAUCUUGUGAAAUUUCAGUUGUACAUUAAUGUUUGUCAUUCAUGCAAAAGGGGAAAUUUUGAUUACAGAUGUCUUGGCCCCUUACAGUGUGGAGUUGAUUCUGUCAGAUCUUAGCAGCAGUCACGCUUUCUACGGUAUGUCAAGCCAUGUGAUGAAUCAUGGCAAUAAAAAAGUGUUCCCCCCAGCUCUUAGGUACUUUGAUUUGGAAAAUGGGGUUUCAAAUCGUUGUCUUGAUUUCCAUGAAGAUUUUAACAAAACCUCAGAAACUAGACUCCAAACACAAGCUAGACUUUACUCGGCCAUCGGCAUGUUCAGCAGAUAGCGCAGAUGUAAAUUUCAGCAAAUUCCAUUCAGCCUAUAAACUUCUUACCAAAGAAAAUGAAACGAUCUCACCUGCUAAAUGUCCUGCACACCUUGUACCCAAGACUGCUAAAAAGGGGUGUGAUACGCUUUCCUGUGACACUGAGGCUUUCAUAAUGAAAGUUUUUGGUUACUUUUCAAUUGCCUCAAAACAUGCAGAAGAACUUAAUGAGAUUCUUGACUUUGUAGAAAUGGAAGGAGACGGCCUCCCUAGACAUACGCCUACAAGAUGACUGUCAUUGUUGCCAGCCAUAGAAACGAGGUUAAAACGUUGGUCUACCAUACAAUCCUGUUUUCAAAGUGUGGGAAAAGAAGAAUGUCCUUCUCUUAUUUGAAAAUACACUGAGGAUGAGAAUGGAGAAAAGGAUUACAGUACAACAGAAAUUUAUAUGCUGUUUCUCCAGAGCUGCUUGAUGAUCUUUGAAGAGGCCAUAAAGAGUCUAGAAAAGGACAAACUGUCGGCACCUGAGCUAUUUGACAUUAUGUGUAAGUUGCGACAAAAACUCAUACAGCGAAAAAAAUGACUCAUUUUUUGGAAAGAAGACUGCUUUAGAACUGAAAAAAAUGUCACCAGAAAAGAGCAGUCAAAUUAAACAGGACUUUCUCAAUUUCUUUACUAAAACUAUGCCUUUUUUGGAGUCCAGUUUUGAUUUCACAAAUUCUAAUUACCUCUGUGCUUUAAAACCAUUUUCUCUGAGAAAGAGAGGUUUAACUUACAGUGACAUCCGGUGUGAUUCGGAAUGUUCAGAAAUGAUGGACCUUUUAGACAUGGAAACCUCCCUGAUGAAUUUAUAGAUGCACAAGACUUGAUGGACAAACAGCUGGUCUACCCGAACAAGCCUGGAGAUGAAAAAUGGAUGGACGUUUCUGGAGAGCUGGAAACAGAUUCCUACAAGUCUAAAAACUUGCUGCUGCUCCUUCUGCUGUCAGAAGUGGGAUCUGAAGAAGACCCCUGACAAGCCCCAAGGCCGAUCGAAUGGAGCUCUUAGAAAUAGCAAAAGCCAAUGCAGCAAAAGCUUUAGGAACAGCCAAGCUUGAAUUGCCGGCUAGUCUCAGAGCGGUGCUUGUGUCUAAGGAGACUGACCGUGGAACAGCUGUACCCAACCGUGCCGCACAGUUUCAGGUAAGUAUUCUACGGUUAUCCAAACAGAAUCUUCGGGAAGCUUCUGCCAGAAAGAUCUGAUUAGCCAUUUUUAUUUGAUUUACCUUAGACGACUACUUGGAAAGGCUAGCUAAAUAUAGUUUGUUAAAAUCAACAACAAAAUCAAAAUAACAGGACUGACGGUGCUAGACAGGAUCUCCCCCAUGGAAAUGGGAGAUUAAUGAAUUUUCAGUUGACACAGUACUAAUUACAUUCCUAGUUGUAGCUGGUACUUUGGUGAUUUCUAUGUAGUUAUGAAAUUUUUUUAACUAGUCUUAGUAUUUAUCUGUAGUUUUCAUUUGUAGUAUUAUGUUCCCACAAAUUCUGUACUCAACAUACAGUGUAGUUUAUCUGCUUUAUUUCUGUCUUAUAGAAAUCAUGAAUGUGGUCUCCAGACAUUGAUGAAGAAAAUCUGUUGGUAAUUGGUACAUGGGCAAAAGCAUCAGAGGUUUAACUAAUUUGAAGGUUAUGUUCAUACACUGAAAACUUAGUUUUUUGUUGGUAGAUCCAUGUGCAUGCUAGAAUUUGGGACACGUACUACUUGGAUAAGAUACUGAAGACAGCUUCUGAAACUAAAUGAAAGUACACUUUGUAAUGGUGGGGCAUCGAUGAUAGAGAUGUCCCUUUCAUAAUAUAUGUAAUAUAUUCCAGAUGUUUUGAGAGAUUACAGAAGAAGAGACCUGCUUCACUUGCAGAUAAGUUUACUAUGAUUCUCCAGAAAUUUGCAGCAUGUGCAUUGGCAAAUUGCACUGUGCUUUUAAGUUAAUUAUGUGAAAUCCAAUAGCAUCCAUAGCAUUAUGGUUUAAGGUAGUUAGGAAUUGAUGGAGUCAGUUAACACAUGAAAGAUGUGUUAUCUAGGUGCACCUAUCAUUCAGACCCAGAUGUUGGUUCUCUUUAAGUAUUAGUAGACAAGUAAGAUCUUAAUUGAGUUGCUUUUUCAUUUAUACAAUUAGGUACGCAGCUGGCAAAUGCCUUAGUUCUUUGAAACUAGGUAUUUUCUGGUGUAACUUGACUUUCAAAGUUACUUGAAUCUGUGUCAGGGGAAUAUGGUACUGCUUUAUGGGGAAGAGUGUCUUAAUUAAGCCUAAUAUUGAGUCAAUUUUGUUUGGGGGAAAACUCGACAGAGUGCUGUGUUGUUUAGGCUGUUAACUAUAUGGUUAGAUCCAACUUGAUUUGUGUCUUUACAACUAAAUUUAUAUAUGGUUGGGCUGGUUUUUAUACAAUACUGUAAGCCAAGGGUAUGGUUUUUUAAAAAUAUACUUUUUCUUACUUGUCUAGCUGCCGGAAAAGCUAACAGAAGAUGGAACCAAAAAUCCCAAUGAAAAGUCUUCCCAGCAAAAAAGCAUAGCUUUUAGCUCUAAUGAUUUUGUGGCAAAGCCAAUGCUUCAGAAAUCAGCUAAAGCUACUGCUGAAGAGACCCUCUCAGGAUCCCCAAAAAUAAAUCUGAAAAAAAGUCCAUAUGGACUGUGGAUACCUGUCUAAAAAAGAAAGCUAAAGAAAAGCUAAGGUGGUCUGAAAUGCACUUUAUCGCAAGUUUGUGUUUUUAGCAUUAUUCCAUCCGUGAGCCAUUUAGUGGUAAUUGGCAAAGUCACAGUGACAGAAAAAGAUGUGAAUACUUAAUAUUUAAA